AUGCCUGAUACUACAUCUCGGGUGGUCCCCACCAAUCAGGUGCCCCCUUCCAAGGCUUAUGAUCCAUGUCCUAUUUGCAAAGCUACUAGCCAUUCUCCUGCUAGUUGUCCGCAAGCUUUCUAUGAAAGAUGCAGUAAAAUGGGUCACCUGGCUUCAGUGUGCGUUACUUUUCUGCCUUGGGAGUGCAUUGCUCCCAUGUGCGCCUCCCAGGACAAGGGGCAGGGUUUCCUUUACAUUCCUGAUUCAUGCACUGCUAAGCAACUCAAGGAAAGAUCUACCAGCGUAGUGAUUACUGUCAUAGAGGGGGAUGCUAGUGUUAAGGAAUUAGAAGAAGCAUUUUCUGAUUAUAUUGGGACCAAGUGGCACUGCACUGCUCGAACUAUUGGUCUAAAUACAUAUGUGAUGAGGUUUCCCAAUCAAAGAGAUGUGAAAAAAGCAUGCUAUAAUGAUAGAAUGAUCCUUAAAUCUUGUGGUGUGGUAGUUAAGAUUGUUCCCUGGUCGGCCAACAUUGGGGCCAAGGGAGCCAUGGAGAUGGCAUGGGUAAAAGUUGCUAAUAUUCCCCUGGAAAGAAGAAAUGAGAGGAAUGUUGCUUAUGUCUCAUCUCUGGUGGGCGUCCCGCUCGAGAUCGACAUGGCCACCCUGCACAAGCCUGAAUUUGUCAGGGUUCGGCUGGGAUGUCGCAAUGUGGACGAGCUCCCUGGGGUUGCUGAGGCAGUGUUGGGCACACACUUCUUUGAUUUUUUCUAUGAAAUCGAGAAGGUGCUGGUGCGUGACCCAGAGAGAGAAAAAAAGGCUGUGUAG
rnacentral:rRNA from 1 species